rnacentral:rRNA from 1 species
UAGGGAAUCUUCGGCAAUGGACGAAAGUCUGACCGAGCAACGCCGCGUGAGUGAAGAAGGUUUUCGGAUCGUAAAACUCUGUUGUUAGAGAAGAACAAGGACGUUAGUAACUGAACGUCCCCUGACGGUAUCUAACCAGAAAGCCACGGCUAACUACGUGCCAGCAGCCGCGGUAAUACGUAGGUGGCAAGCGUUGUCCGGAUUUAUUGGGCGUAAAGCGAGCGCAGGCGGUUUCUUAAGUCUGAUGUGAAAGCCCCCGGCUCAACCGGGGAGGGUCAUUGGAAACUGGGAGACUUGAGUGCAGAAGAGGAGAGUUGAAUUCCAUGUGUAGCGGUGAAAUGCGUAGCUAUAUGGAGGAACACCAGUGGCGAAGGCUGCUCUCUGGUCUGUAACUGACGCUGAGGCUCGAAAGCGUGGGGAGCAAACAUG